AAACGUAGGGCGCAAGCGUUGCUCGGAAUCACUGGGCGUAAAGCGUGGGUAGGCGGGCUGGUAAGUCGGAUUUGAAAGCCCACGGCUCAACCGUGGAAUUGCAUCCGAUACUGCCAGUCUAGAGUACGGGAGAGGGAGGCGGAAUUCCCGGUGUAGCGGUGAAAUGCUUAGAUAUCGGGAGGAACACCGGUGGCGAAGGCGGCCUCCUGGACCGUUACUGACGCUGAGCCACGAAAGCGUGGGGAGCAAACAGGAUUAGAAACCCUAGUAGUCC
rnacentral:rRNA from 1 species